rnacentral:rRNA from 1 species
UACAGAGGUGGCAAGCGUUGUUCGGAAUUACUGGGCGUAAAGGGCGUGCAGGCGGUCUGUUAAGUCUAGGGUGAAAGCUCCCGGCUCAAUUGGGAGAGGUCCUUGGAUACUGGCGGACUUGAGGGAGGCAGAGGAAAGUGGAAUUCCCGGUGUAGUGGUGAUAUGCGUAGAUAUCGGGAGGAACACCAGUGGCGAAGGCGGCUUUCUGGGCCUUACCUGACGCUGAGACGCGAAAGCGUGGGGAGCGAACCGG